UAAUUGGGCGUUAAGUUGCAGGGUAUAGACCCGAAACCCGGUGAUCUAGCCAUGGGCAGGUUGAAGGUUGGGUAACACUAACUGGAGGACCGAACCGACUAAUGUUGAAAAAUUAGCGGAUGACCUGUGGCUGGGGGUGAAAGGCCAAUCAAACCGGGAGAUAGCUGGUUCUCCCCGAAAGCUAUUUAGGUAGCGCCUCGUGAAUUCAUCUCCGGGGGUAGAGCACUGUUUCGGCUAGGGGGCCAUCCCGGCUUACCAACCCGAUGCAAACUGCGAAUACCGGAGAAUGUUAUCACGGGAGACACACGGCGGGUGCUAACGUCCGUCGUGAAGAGGGAAACAACCCAGACCGCCAGCUAAGGUCCCAAAGUCAUGGUUAAGUGGGAAACGAUGUGGGAAGGCCCAGACAGCCAGGAUGUUGGCUUAGAAGCAGCCAUCAUUUAAAGAAAGCGUAAUAGCUCACUGGUCGAGUCGGCCUGCGCGGAAGAUGUAACGGGGCUAAACCAUGCACCGAAGCUGCGGCAGCGAACGUAUCACCCAAGACAACUUUACGGAGUUGACGAUUGACGGAGCGAAGCGACGUCAAAGCGUUCAUUAAAGUCGAGUUGGCUUAGGGAUACGUUCGUUGGGUAGGGGAGCGUUCUGUAAGCCUGUGAAGGUGUGUCGUGAGGCAUGCUGGAGGUAUCAGAAGUGCGAAUGCUGACAUAAGUAACGAUAAAGCGGGUGAAAAGCCCGCUCGCCGGAAGACCAAGGGUUCCUGUCCAACGUUAAUCGGGGCAGGGUGAGUCGACCCCUAAGGCGAGGCCGAAAGGCGUAGUCGAUGGGAAACGGGUUAAUAUUCCCGUACUUGGUGUUACUGCGAAGGGGGGACGGAGAAGGCUAUGUUGGCCGGGCGACGGUUGUCCCGGUUUAAGCGUGUAGGUGUGUGUUCCAGGUAAAUCCGGUUCACUUUAACACUGAGGCGUGACGACGAGGCACUACGGUGCUGAAGCAACAAAUGCCCUGCUUCCAGGAAAA
rnacentral:rRNA from 1 species